rnacentral:rRNA from 1 species
CCAGACUCCUACGGGAGGCAGCAGUGAGGAAUAUUGGUCAAUGGGCGCGAGCCUGAACCAGCCAAGUCGCGUGAGGGAGGACGGCCCUACGGGUUGUAAACCUCUUUUGCCGGGGAGCAACGGGCGUCACGUGUGGCGCCACUGAGAGUACCCGGAGAAAAAGCAUCGGCUAACUCCGUGCCAGCAGCCGCGGUAAUACGGAGGAUGCGAGCGUUAUCCGGAAUUAUUGGGCGUAAAGGGUGCGUAGAUGGCAUAGUAAGUCUUUUGUAAAAAUGCUGGGCUCAACCCAGUAGGGCAAAAGAUACUGCAAAGCUAGAGUAUGACAGAGGCAAGCGGAACUACAUGUGUAGCGGUAAAAUGCGUAAAUAUAUGUAAGAGCACCAGUGGCGAAGGCGGCUUGCUGGGUCGAUACUGACAUUGAGGCACGAAAGCGUGGGGAGCAAACAGGAUUAGAUACCCGAGUA